rnacentral:rRNA from 1 species
UACAUGGGGUGCAAACGUUGCUCGGAAUCAUUGGGCGUAAAGCGCGCGUAGGCGGUUACUUAAGUUGGAUGUGAAAGCCCUCGGCUUAACUGAGGAAGUGCAUCCAAAACUGAGUAGCUAGAGUACGAAAGAGGGUCGCGGAAUUCCCGGUGUAGAGGUGAAAUUCGUAGAUAUCGGGAGGAACACCGGUGGCGAAGGCGGCUCACUGGCCCGAUACUGACGCUGAGGCACGAAAGUGUGGGGAGCAAACAGG